GCACAAUGGGCGCAAGCCUGAUGCAGCCAUGCCGCGUGUAUGAAGAAGGCUUCGGGUUGUAAAGUAUUUCAGCAGUGAGGAAGGUGGAGUCGUUAAUAGCGGCCUCAUUUGACGUUAGCUGCAGAAGAAGCACCGGCUAACUCCGUGCCAGCAGCCGCGGUAAUACGGAGGGUGCGAGCGUUAAUCGGAAUUACUGGGCGUAAAGCGCAUGCAGGUGGUUUGUUAAGUCAGAUGUGAAAGCCCGGGGCUCAACCUCGGAAUUGCAUUUGAAACUGGCAGACUAGAGUACUGUAGAGGGGGUAGAAUUUCAGGUGUAGCGGUGAAAAUGCGUAGAGAUCUGAAGGAAUACCGGUGGCGAAGGCGGCCCCCUGGACAGAUACUGACACUCAGAUGCGAAAGCGUGGGGAGCAAACAGGAUUAGAUACCCUGGUAG
rnacentral:rRNA from 1 species